GGUGGCUCAGUGGUAGAGUGCUUGCCUAGCAUGCAUGAAGCCCUGAGUUUGACUCCUCAGCACCA
rnacentral:tRNA from 1 species